rnacentral:rRNA from 1 species
UUUUCACAAUGGGCGAAAGCCUGAUGGAGCGACGCCGCGUGGGGGAUGAAUGGCUUCGGCCCGUAAACCCCUGUCAUUUGCGAACAAGUUGUUUCACCUAACACGUUAAACAUUGAUAGUAGCGAAAGAGGAAGGGACGGCUAACUCUGUG